rnacentral:rRNA from 1 species
UUCCAGACUCCUACGGGAGGCAGCAGUAGGGAAUCUUUCACAACGGGCGAAAGCCUGAUGGAGCAACGCCGCGUGCAGGAUGAAGGCCUUCGGGUUGUAAACUGCUUUUAUAAGCGAGAAAUAUGAUGGUAACUUAUGAAUAAGGAUCGGCUAACUACGUGCCAGCAGCCGCGGUAAUACGGAGGAUGCGAGCGUUAUCCGGAUUUAUUGGGUUUAAAGGGUGCGCAGGCGGCACGGCAAGCCGGCGGUCAAAUCGCGGGGCUCAACCCCGCCCAGCCGUCGGAACUGCCGGGCUAGAGUGGGCGAGAAGUGCGCGGAAUGCGUGGUGUAGCGGUGAAAUGCAUAGAUAUCACGCAGAACUCCGAUUGCGAAGGCAGCGCACCGGCGCCCUACUGACGCUCAGGCACGAAAGCGUGGGUAUCGAACAGGAUUAGAUACCCCGGUAA